CCUACGGGAGGCAGCAGUGGGGAAUUGUUCGCAAUGGGCGCAAGCCUGACGACGCAACGCCGCGUGGAGGAUGAAGACCUUCGGGUCGUAAACUCCUUUCGAUCGAGACGAAUGUUUUCCGGGUGAACAAUCCGGAAAAGUGACGGUACCGAGAGAAGAAGCCCCGGCUAACUCUGUGCCAGCAGCCGCGGUAAUACGAGGGGGGGGCAAGCGUUGUUCGGAAUUACUGGGCGUAAAGGGCUUGUAGGUGGCCAACUAAGUCAGACGUGAAAUCCCUCAGCUUAACUGGGGAACUGCGUCUGAUACUGGAUGGCUUGAGUUUGGGAGAGGGAUGCGGAAUUCCAGGUGUAGCGGUGAAAUGCGUAGAUAUCUGGAGGAACACCGGUGGCGAAGGCGGCAUCCUGGACCAACACUGACACUGAGGAGCGAAAGCCAGGGGAGCAAACGGGAUUAGAUACCCCGGUAGUCCUGGCCCUAAACGAUGAAUGCUUGGUGUGGCGGGUAUCGAUCCCUGCCGUGCCGAAGCUAACGCAUUAAGCAUCCGCCGUGGGAGGUACGGUCGGCGAGGCGUGUAAACGUUAACGAAAGUAAAGUUAGUUACGGCGUUGAGNGCGACGACGACGACGAGGAGGAGGAG
rnacentral:rRNA from 1 species